rnacentral:rRNA from 1 species
CGCAUCUGUGCAUGCAGCAUAUCAAUAAGCGGAGGAAAAGAAACUAACAAGGAUUCCCCUAGUAACGGCGAGUGAAGCGGGAAGAGCUCAAAUUUGAAAUCUUAAAGGGUUUCCCUUUACGAAUUGUAGUUUAAAGAAGUGUUUCCUGUUGAGGUUUUGGUAAAAGUUCUUUGGAAUAGGACAUCAUAGAGGGUGAGAAUCCCGUAUUUGACCUUUACUUUCAACUUUGUGAUACACUUUCAAAGAGUCGGAUUGUUUGGGAAUGCAGUCCAAAAUGGGUGGUAAGUUUCAUCUAAAGCUAAAUAUUGGCGAGAGACCGAUAGCGAACAAGUACCGUGAGGGAAAGAUGAAAAGAACUUUGAAAAGAGAGUUAAACAGUACGUGAAAUUGUCAAAAGGAAGCGUUUGACACCAGUGUUGUUUUUCUGAAAAUCAAUUAAAGAACUGUUUAUGCUAAGCUGUUUAGACUUUAUCAGCUAACUGUUUAGUUUUGAGCUUUUCUUUAAUGCACUUUUCAGUUAACAAGUCAACAUCAAUUUCUUUUGCUGUAAAAAAGCUUGAGGAAGGUGGCUUGAGAUUCGUCUUAAGUGUUUAUAGCCUCUUGCCUACGCAGUCGGAGAGAUUGAGGUCUGCAGCGUAGAUCCUUCGGGGCUAAAUGCAUUUGUGCUAAGUUAUAGCAUUUUAUAGACAACUUGUUGACUAUGAUUUGUCUUGUAGCUUACUCGCUUAUGUUAUUUUACCUACGCUUAGGAUGUUGAGUCAUCACACAUCUCU